rnacentral:tRNA from 1 species
GCGCCCGUAGCUCAACCGGAGAGAGCACGCGCCUUCUAAGCGCGGGGUUGUGAGUUCGAGUCUCACCGGGCGCG